CCUACGGGUGGCAGCAGUGAGGAAUAUUGGUCAAUGGGCGCAAGCCUGACCCAGCCAAGUCGCGUGAAGGAAGAAGGUUCUAUGGUUUGUAAACUUCUUUUAUAGGGGAGUAAAGGUCUCCACGUGUGGCGAUUAGCAUGUACCCUAUGAAUAAACAGCGGCUAACUCCGUGCCAGCAGCCGCGGUGAUGCGGGGGAUGCGAGCGUUAACCGGAUUUAUUGGGGUUAAAGGGUGCGUAGGGUGUUGUUUAAGGCAGCGGUGAAAGUGUGGGGCUCAACCAUAAAAUUGCCGUUGAAACUGGAAGUCUUGAGUGUGUGUGAGGUAGGCGGAAUGCGUGGUGUAGCGGUGAAAUGCAUAGAUAUAACGAAGAACUCCGAUUGCGAAGGCAACUUACUAAGCCACAACUGACACUGAAGCACGAAAGCGUGGGGAUCAAACAGGAUUAGAUACCCGGGUAGUC
rnacentral:rRNA from 1 species